GGAGCAUUCUUCAUUCCUACUUGCAGUUGAGCCAUUUCGUGUGGAGUGUGGAUACUGACUUCACCAUUCUAGUUUUGCCGCGUUCCAGGGUUCCCUGUUGGACAAUACCGUGUUGCACCAAGUGGGACAACCCCUUACUUGCGUUGCCCGCCCCCCACGACGAGGACGUACUAGAAUGGACUUGGGGGGCAGCAGAUUUUGCCUCUAGUUGUCCUUCACACAGACAGCAAAUGUCCACUGUUCUUAAGAGUCAACAAUGGACCCCUUUGUCAGGGUACUAAAAGGAUUGUGCAUUUUGGGCUUCUACCUGUUUUGUUACAGGGACACUGCAAAUGCUAUCAUUGGUCUCAUGUAAAUUUCCAGAUCAUUUCAUGUUAGUUAGACUUUGCCAGCCAUGCAUGGAGGACAGGAAGAAGAACCCCACCAACACAUGAAGUUGGAGAGUGUGUUACCACCAGCAACACAGGGGGACAUUGUACAUAAUGAGUGGUGGUAAACACUGCCAAACCACAUUGUACAUGGAGGCAGAAUGUAUGCAGGGGCCCUGUUGUGCUGUUUUCAGCAGACGAUGUGAAAACCAACACUUUUGGACAAAAGUUUCAAGAUCAUGUGUGAAUUGAAUUGAAUUGGAAUGGCUGGAUGAGGAAGAGCUUUAACAGCAACAUGCAGAUAUGAGAAUAUUCUGACAAGGAGGCUCUGAGCAUCCUGGGCAUUAGCAGCAAUACUCAGAAAAUUCUGAAUACGGGAGGAUACCCCUGAGUAUCCUGGGCAUUAGCAGCAAUACUCAGGGAUGCUGGACAAUGAGGGGAACCUCAGAGUAUUCUAGGGCAUUAGCAGCAAUACUCUGAAGUAGACAGUCACACAUUCUGCUGCAUUCUCCAUUCGCGCCUGGCAUGGUUAGCUACGCAGCCAUAGUUCUGUGGUACCAAAUGAAAACUGUCGCUUUCCUACCAUUUGGUGAGUUUCUGCACGUGCUCUGUGUACCUCCAGUGAUUAGCAGGUGUGACUGAACCAUUGUUUGAAGAUCCCUGAUGAUGGAGGCAGUGUGACCUCUGAAGCCUUGGUGGACAUCUACCAGACUAUCCGGCGCAACAACCCAGAAGACAGCAAUCUUCAGACUCACCGUUGUGAAAACCUCAGGUCUUCCACCUGCAAAAGAAGUUGCAUUGGUCAACUAUUCCACUUGUAGUUCUAAUUUUGUGGCAUUCACAAUCACAGUCAGACUGAAAUGAUCCUAUAAAUUUCCUUGAAACUAAAUUUGUGUAGGCUGAUAUACAUUGUUAAGAAUCAUACUGUGGUAAGCUCAGUAUUUCAUAACUCUGUUGAAACAAUUUUUGGGCCCUGUGAACCACAACACACUUGCAAGUCAGCAAUUAGAAUAGUGCUAAACUGCAUUAAUUUCUUAUUACUGACAUUAGAAAAGGCAUUAAAAUGCCACUAAACCAGAAAAUUCAACUAAAAGGGAAAUACAGGAGUGCUUUGAGACUAGCACUGAAACAAGCCUGGUAGAAUCACCAUCUCAUAAGUGCUACUGCUAGUAGCUGACAGCUAACAGGAAUGCUUAAGAGGAAACUUGAUAACCUAUGCAAAUAUUUGAUUCAACAAAUGGUGCCCAUUUUUUGAGGUUGCUUGUGAUUAUUUUGUUUCAGUUUAAUCAUAUGUAUGUGUCUUUGUAAAUGUUGUACCAGAUGUGUGAACUACAUAGAAUUGAGGACAUCACUUCAGGGUUGAAGCACAUUUGAUAAGUAAGCACAUGCAAAAACAGUGUCUGAAAGUAGUAGGUUGUGUAACAACUACUAACAAUAGCAAGGAGAAUGAGGGGUGCACUACUUGAUCUGUACUGAAAGUGGGCCUUAUGCAGCCAGGAUCCAGCAACGACUGUGGCUAUAACCUCAAUCCUACUAGCAAGCAAUAAGAAGAAACCCUACAAGAUGUGCACCAAACCUGAAUCUCGCACAGUCAUGAUUCAGUAACAGGUACACUUAAAAGCAAAUCAUUAACAAGGUCAGAGAUUGUGAAUGUUGUCCUGAAGUAAUUUUUAAAAUGAUUCAAAAUAUUGGUUAAGCCUGUGGUAUUGUACGAAAGUGAGACAUUCACAUUGAGAUACUGAGACAAAAGAAUAGAUGCCUCAGUUAUGAGAACUUAAGACUCUUAGCAGGAUAUACACAUUUAGACAAACACUGAAAUACGUGGGAAACUUAUGACUUAUCAGUAUGUUGAAGAGAUUAUUUUAUAUGGGCAAAUAUGGAAAGCUGAUCAUCAGGGUGAUGAUUGAAGCAGAAGGAACUGUGAAAUGUUGGUAAAUUUCUGCCAGACCACACAGCGCAGCAUCCCAGGAGACAGCAAUAUUUGUACUCACUGCCAUGAAAACCAAAUUGCUACUUAAACUGGGCACUUUCUGGUUGCAAGUCUAGAAUGUUAUCACUAUACCAUCAUGCUUGAAUAUUUUUGUACAUGACAAUAAAGUGGCAUGGUAGAGCAGUCUGGUAUGAGUUAUUACA